GUGCCCCUGCACAACGCGUGUUCGUAUGGCCACUACGAGGUGACGGAGCUGCUGGUGUCGUGCGGCGCCGGCGUCAACGCCGCCGACCUGUGGCGGUUCACGCCGCUGCACGAGGCCUGCGCCAAGGGGAAGGCGGACAUUGUCCGGUUGCUGCUCAAGCACGGAGCAGACCCGACAAGGCGGAAUAGAGAUGGUCUCACGCCGUUGCAAUUGGUACGUGCAGGAGACACAGAUACAGCGGACGCGUUGAGAGGGGACGCCGCGUUGUUGGACGCGGCCAAAAGAGGAGACCUCGCCAGAGCAAGAAAAUUGAUAACGCCACAAAAUGUCAACUGCCGAGAUUCACACGGGCGGAAUUCGACGCCGU